AUUGAACGCUGGCGGCAGGCUUAACACAUGCAAGUCGAGCGAGCGGCGGACGGGUGAGUAAUGUCUGGGAAACUGCCUGAUGGAGGGGGAUAACUACUGGAAACGGUAGCUAAUACCGCAUACCAUCAGAUGUGCCCAGAUGGGAUUAGCUAGUAGGUGGGGUAAUGGCUCACCUAGGCGACGCUCCCUAGCUGGUCUGUGAGGAUGACCAGCCACGGUGGAACGGGGACACGGUCCAGACUCCUACGGGAGGCAGCAGUGGGGAAUAUUGCAAAAUGGGCGCAAGCCUGAGGCAGCCAUGCCGCGUGUGUGAAGAAGGCCUUCGGGUUGUAAAGCACUUUCAGCGAGGAGGCGUUACUCGCAGAAGAGGCACCGGCGAACUCCGUGCCAGCCGCCGCGGUAAUUC
rnacentral:rRNA from 1 species